UGAACGCCCUCACGGGCUUAUAACUAUUCCAAACCUCUGUGAACCGUGCCCUUCGGGGCUAUUUUACAAACAUGGUGUAAUGAACGUCAUAUAUCAUAACAAAACA
rnacentral:misc_RNA from 1 species